UCCUCUCAAACUUUCCCCAAUCUAUCCCAUACCUUGCGCCCUUGAACCAAAACUCAUAUCCUUCAACAAUUUAUUCUAAUUCCAUUACUCAAUCAUAUUGUGUGUUUUGAUUGUAAUGUUAAGUUGAAACAUUGUAUGCUACUUAAGUUUGAUUAAUUUAGUGAUGGUUGUUGCGAUUGAUUGCAAAUUCAUUCAUAAAGUUUGUAGAUAAUAAAGGCAAGAAUACAUCUUUUUCAUCCCUCUUUUUUUUCCACAAUUCCCUCUUAUUCUUCCAGAUUGCUACAAUUACCAUACAUAAAUAGUCAGAUCCCCUUUCAUCUUUUCUCACUCACAUUCAAAUUCAAACUCUAAUUUCUCAAAUUUUUGCUUUUGAAUUGUGUAAUUUUGUGUUUUUAUGUAAUUGGUGUAGAGAGUUUAUGUUGUUUUAAUGUGUUGAUUAAGAGUGGGUCUUGUUGUUGUUGAUUGAUGAUUAUUAGUUUUGUUUAAAAAAAUAUAUAUGUUUGUUGUUUUCUUUCUUUUCCUGGGUUUGGUGUUGAUGAUUUAUGAAUAUGGUGAUGAAGAUGAAGAAGACAAUGAAGGAAGAAGAAGAAUAAGAUCUUGAUUUUAAAUUUGAAAUUUUGAUUUUACGUUUUUUAUUUUAGUCCCUGUGGUAAUUUACGCUUUUGAUUUUAGUCCCUGACUUUACACAACUAAUCAUCUCUCAUGCCAUCUCAUCAAAUGUGCCAAGUCAUGACCUGCCACCUGUGCUCCGUUAGCCACAAUGGCGUUUUUGUUGACAGAAGCUGAUGGUAAGGACCAUUUUCAAAAGGUCAAAAAGAUACAAGGUUUAUUUUAUAUAAAAAAAAAAACUUACAAGGACGAAAACAAAAAAUACGCGAACUUAGAGGAACCUUUUACAUAUUUAAGCCAAUAACUAAUAGCACUUAUUUUGGUACAUUUCUCUUUUGCAAAUGUGAAACUUAAUAUUGGAUGGGGUCAAUAAUUUUGAGAAUGAAUAAACCCAUUAUUUAGUCUUUUAAUUUUUUUUUUCCAUCCAUCAGGUUUCUAAACUAUUUACAAACACUAAAUGUCCUUAAGACAUAGCUCAAGUAACAAUAUUGAUAUUGAGAAGUUGGAUAUUUUCAUCCGAGUUUGAACUCGAAUUCUUGCAAUUACGAGUGUGAAUUUCAGGUAAUUUAUAUCAAUUUAUCUGUAAACAAAAGGAGAUAUAUACGCGUAACAAAUAGGUCUAAUGCAAAUUAACAACUUAUUUUUAGUUUAUAAAAUAUAUGAAAUUUAAUCCUUUAGUCCCUAGUAUAUUUUAACAAUGGGCACUAAAGCAACAUAUAUUUCAUAUAUUUUAAAUACUACUACAUCUUUCCUUAUGUAUAAGCUCAUUUGACAUUUUCACAUAUAUUAAAAAAGUUAGUAGUGUCUUGACAAAAAAGAAGCUCCUUAGAGUUUCCUUAUGUAUAUUUUUUUAAACCGAAAAAAUUGUGUACAAAAAAUGACUAUUAUUACUAAAAAAAAUCUUUUGCAUAUAGAUGUGUUCAACAUUUAUUUUGCAAUUCUCAAGACAAAUCAGUGGUACAUCUUAAUAAGUGAUAUAUUUGUUAGGAAAAAAAAUUACUAUAUGUAUCUAGUUAUUUGCAAGACUAAUGAUUCUUAGCAAAUAUGCUUAUAUUGAGAGAACUUUUUUCUAAAGAGAGCUUAUAAUUAGAGACUAAGAUUUUGCCAAAAAAUAAAGAAAAAUUAGAGAAUAAGGUUUAUACUAUACUUUAGAAACUAAUUUGAUGAGAUACGACUAAAUCGAAGAUAUAUUUUUUUAGAAUAGUGUUAGAACCUUAGAAAUUAUAAUCAAUAGAAAUAGAAAUGUUCCUUACAGAUCCAUAAUAGUGACAAUCUUGUCUUUUCUUUUGAGGAAAUAAUAAUAAAGGUGGUGCCAACAUUUCAACAAACCUAGCUAUUUUAAUUAUUCUGUUCUCACAGCCUGCACCUUAGAUCAAAUCCAAAUUGGGUCAUCACCGUUCCAAAAUGCUUAGGGACGUUACUCUAAAUGUCAAUAUGAAUGAGUAAUUCAAAUAGUUAACAUAGCCCGCCAGCCUUAUAUAAUAAUAUCAAUAUAUGUCGACUAAUUAUCGAGAUGCUAAAUUGGAGUACACUUCACAAACAAAAAUCUUUCAUAAGGCGUUUUUUCUCUUAAUACAUUUUUUCUUUUCUUAUGCUAGUAACAUUUACUCUGUAUUGGCCUUCCUAAGAAGAAGUUGGAUAGUAGCAAUGUGUUCGUGAGACUGCUGAUAUCUUAAAAGAAUGUUCUCAUAGAUUCCACUUUUUUAGUAAGCUUUUAUGUGUAUGAGUUUGCAAAUUUAACCCUUUUUAAUUCGGAUAGAUUUAUAAGUCACACCUUCAAGUACAAUCGACAAAAUUUCAGUAAUAAUUACGGUUUAGGGUUUAUGGGUCUAGAUCUACUAAAAAUGAGUGGGUGUAUAAAUUAGUAUAUCCUAGAGUUUAUUAUCUUACGUUCGAUCUUCUUUGCAGAAACUCGUGCAUGUUCGUGAUAUAUAUUUUCGCGAGAAGUACAUUUCCCUAAAACAAAAUCAACCACUGACAUAAACACGUCAAAUGUAAGCCGGUAAAUCCAAGCUUUACUAACACGAGUUAUAUUAUAUCAUUGGCAUCAGCUACUUAAGAACUACUGUAGAAAAUUUACAGCAAGUCAUCGAGGCUUAAUAAAAUGUGUUGAUAUAGUUACAAAGAUAAAUUAAAUAGCAGAGCAUACAUGAAGAGAACAAAUGUAGAGCAACCCCUUAAACAAACCCUCUCAGUAAGGUAUCUUCACAUUACUCUAAGUUCAUAAAAGAUGACUUUAAAAACGAUUAUUUCAAAAUGCAAGUAUUCUCCGACCCCUUUUUCCCGGAUCUAGAUCUAAUAGUGUAAGGAUAUAUAUAAAUCAUUGUCACAUUUUACAACUCAAGAGUUUACCUCAACUCGUUUUGUUUAGGUAAAUUCGACUCGAGAACUCGUAUGACUUUACCUAAAAUUAAAAUUAUAUAAAAUUUAUUAUAUAUGCAUGACAUAUGUAAGUUAAUAUAAUAUUGUAAAUAGGUCAAUAGUGCAAAAUAUGACUUAAUUACAAAGACAAAUUAUACCAUAAUAAAAUGUUAUGCUCAACUUAGCUUCAAAAUACAAAAAUUAACGCACAAAAUCAUAAGUCUCUAAGUUUAAGCCAUCCAUAAAACCAUCCAAAAAAAGAAAGUUUCACAAGUUCCUAAAGUUAUUAAUAAAACUAUCUAAAAAAUAAAGUAGUUAAUUUCUUCAAAACGUCAACAAACACCACCACAACAACCCUAACCAGUGUCACAAUCACCGGCGUUGAAAUAUGAAUUUCCACCGUCUGAAUCACAACCCUAAAUGGUAUGUGCUCCCCUGUUCAUGGUUUGAGAACUUAGAAAAGAAAAAGGGCAAUCCGGUGCACUAAAGCUCCCACAUACGCAGGGUCCGGGAAGGGGUCCCACCAUUUUUUGUGUAUUGUACGCAACCUUACCCUGUUUUUGAUCACAAAAGAAAAAGAAACGUUUCAUUUUAGGAACAACUUGUCACUGUAAAGGUAACUAUUAAUUAAACGUUUCAGUCUUUGGGGUUGUAGAAAAGGAAUUGGAUUUUGAAAAAAAUGGGCACAUAAAAAGGGCCAAUUUUUAGAUGUAAACUCGUAAAACUCAGUAAACUCGGUCGAGUUUACACGAGUUUACCUAGUGUUAACUCGGUCAAACUCGUUAAACCUUCCAAUUUUACCAGAAACCGAGUUUACCUCCGAAUUAACAUGAUUUUGGCACCUACGUAAACUCGAAGAGUUAACACUCAAUUUGCGGAACAUUGCAUAUAUAUUUAAAGAUAUAUGUAUAAUUAUAGAGAAAGUAGAGAAGGGAUAUACCAUUUUAUGUAGGGUUAUUAUGUAUCAAAUCAUAAAGAGUCGAGAGUUGUAUUAUACCAUAAUAUUCUUCCGUAAACUGGUAGUCAUGAUCAUGACGUAUAUUAUUCAAGUAUAUGCAAAAACAUGUCUGUAUCUAGUCUAAAUUUUUGACCAAAUGCAUGUAUUUGCUUAUAUUUUGUUACUACUUACUACUCGCCAAGUAAUGCUCAAUAUCUAAUAUAUAUAUUUCAAGACCAUCAAAGAUAACUCAGUUGAACAAUACAUAAUAUAUGCAAGGUUCGGGGUAUAUUACAUUUUCAAUUAUUCUAAUAAUAAAUUUAAAUGACACUUAAAUUAUACAACUAUUAAAUAGAUCUUAGUACCGUAAAAUUUAUAUUCGAGACUUGCUAGGGAGAACCAUCAACCUCAACAAAAAUUUCUACUUGAAUCUAACGCAAACAAAAGGUCCAACCAUCUAUGAAUCUCCGUUGAUAUCACAAAUGAUGUUUGAUACAAGAGAGACAUAUUAGAACAUAAUCUAUGUACAAUCUACAUUAAAAUAAAAAACAAGUCUACAGUCAUAUAAAUAACACAAUUUCAAAAUCUCAAAAUUAGGUAUGAAAACAAAAUGAUUAGAAAAAUAAAUGAUUCAAUCAUUCCGAGAUUUGUGCAAAAAAAAAAAAAAAAACAUUUUGAAAAUACAAUGUUAGAAACUUAUGAUCAAUAUAUAUUUUUCCUUACACAUCAAAAAUAAUUAAGCUAUAUUCUUGUCUUUUCAUUUUGGGCAAACUAAAAUUAAAAUCAAGGUAGUGUCAAUGUUUCUAUAGUCCUAGCUAUUUGAUUUUCUUCUAAGCUAACAAGAGUCUUCCAAAAUCAAAUUCGCGCUCAAAAUUAAAGCAACUUGGGUGGUAACCAUUCCAAAAUACUUAGGGCCACAUUGCUCUAAAAGUCAAUAAGAAUAAGUAAUAAUUCAAAGAUAGCCAACCUUAUAGUAUAUUUUAAUAUGAAUGUAUGCAUGUUUCCUAGAAGGUGAGUAAGCUAACUAAUCAAGAUACUUUGUUGGAGUUAAAUAUGGUAAAGAAUCCAACUAUAAAAUGGGGACUUGCCCCAGCAUUCUUUCACAAACCAAAACCAACUUCUAAGAAAAAAAUGAGGUCCCUAAUGGCCUCUGCUUCUCUCACUCUUGCAUUAGCCAUCCUCUUUUUGAGUUUCCCAUCUGAAAUUUCAGCAAACAAAUACGCAUAUUCCUCUCCACCACCACCACAUUACUCAUCUCCUCCACCUCCACCGGUUCACACUUACCCUAAACCAGUCUACCACUCUCCACCACCACCAGUUCACACCUACCCUAAACCAGUUUACCACUCUCCACCACCACCAGUUCACAAGUACCCUCACCCUAAACCAGUAUACCACUCUCCACCACCCCCAGUUCACAAGUACCCUCAUCCACACCCAGUCUACCAUUCUCCACCACCCCCAGUUCACAAGUACCCCCAUCCUCACCCAGUGUACCACUCUCCCCCACCACCACCACCAAAGAAGUCCUACAAAUACCCAUCUCCCCCACCACCACCAGUUCACACCUACCCUAAACCAGUCUACCACUCUCCUCCACCCCCAGUUCAUCACACCUACCCUAAACCAGUCUACCACUCUCCUCCACCCCCAGUUCACACCUACCCUCACCCUAAACCAGUCUACCACUCUCCACCACCCCCAGUUCACACUUACCCUAAACCAGUCUACCACUCCCCACCACCACCAGUUCACACCUACGUCCCUCACCCUAAGCCAGUCUACCACUCUCCACCACCACCAGUUCACACCUAUCCCCCACAUGUUCCCCACCCAGUUUACCAUUCUCCUCCUCCUCCAGUUCAUUCCCCACCUCCACCACACUAUUACUACAAAUCACCUCCUCCACCUUACCACAACUAGAUAGCCCAUAAUUGGCAUCACACCAUAUGGUAACUUUUCAUGCAACAUAUAUAUUAUAACUUUUCAUAUUCUCUCUUUAUUAACUAGUUAUCGGUAUGAUUGUCGAGUAUAUACUAACAAGGCUAAUUUGAAAUGAAACUUCAUGUGCAAUGAAACAUUCUUUUACUGGUUAAUAUUUUAUUCUAUGUUUCAUUGAAAUUAAUAUUUUUCUAAUAGUAUUUGGUUAUUAAGGGAUUAGAGUAUAUCAGACAUAAACUGACAGAUCAAUAUAUUUGCAUUUGUGUA
rnacentral:lncRNA from 1 species